GCUGGAAUAGCUUACUUGGUAGAGGACAGGACUGAAAA
rnacentral:tRNA from 1 species